UCUGAACUGGGGCAGGGCUAGGGCCGUGCUCUGUGUCCCAGGCUGUAGUGGGGGAUGGCACGUGCCGGCACUGGAGCAAGGGGUUUCUUGAAGAUAUCAAAAAUCUCCUCAUCCAAUAUCAAAGAACAUAUCAUUCACAUUUCCAUAACUGAACUCAGAGGACUGCAGAUGCAAGAAUAUUCUCUGUGUGGGAUCAUCUCUAUCCUAGUCAUCCCAUCUUCUUAUCAUGGUACCAGACUUUCUAAAAGUCUUGUAACUCUUAUGGAAGUUUUAAGGGCCUGAAAAUUUCCCAAAGAGCCUUACAAGUGGUGCUUUUCAUUUGGAGAUUUCAACACGCUUUGCAAUCAUUAACAGCUAAAUCCUCCCUUGGUUAUACUCAUGAAACUGAAGACAAUACAAUUUGUGUGUGUAUCUGGUGACAGAUUCGCCCUCGAUUAAUCUUCACAACACCCCUGCGAGUACUACUAUUGCACUGUCUUUUUAAUUCAUGCAAAUGGCUGGGAGACCCAUUGUGAAUUAGUGAAUUUUGCAAAUUAGAAAAUGAACAAACAAUAAAAAACCAGGGACAAUGCAUCAUAAAAUGUACUUUGUUCAUGUAUUUGAAAAAUGAAGUUUUGCUUUUAUCAAUUAUUAUAACAAUGCACUGUAAUUACAUCAUCACUUACACCAUACUAAUAGAUCUAAUGGUGCUUAUUUAAUAAAAAGAACUUCACUUGAA